rnacentral:misc_RNA from 1 species
CAGAGUUGCAAAACUCCCACAAACCAUCGCGAAUCUUACCCGUACGGUUGCCUCGGCGCUGGCGGUCCGGAAGGCCCUCGGGCCCCCCGGAUCCUCGGGUCUCCCGCUCGCGGGAGGCUGCCCGCCGGAGUGCCGAAACCAAACUCUUGAUAUUUUAUGUCUCUCUGAGUAACUUUUAAAUAAGUCA